rnacentral:lncRNA from 1 species
UCCAGUAAAAUUAUUAAUUAAUCUCAUUAAUUAAUACUAAUUAACCCUACACUAGGAUCUAAAUAUGAUACAACAGCAUGCAUUUAAAUUUAAAAUUUAAAUUUGAAACAGUAAAUAUUUUACUGUACUGUGUUCAGAACACAUCACCUUUUGCGGGUAGUCGAUCACCGCAAUCUGAUCACCGUCGGGGGGCUCUGAUCAUCACAUCGUAGCCACACUAGUAUCUGACCUCUGUGGAUCAUCCAUAUGAAGCUCCCAUCUGAUCGGCUCCUCACGAAUGCUAGUUCAUGAUUUCACCCUUUUGAUGGCUGAUGUUGAUCGAACUCUUUCGAUCGAUGUGUGCCGACUCCUCAGAUGCUCCGGAUCAUCUGCACGGUUGGUUGAGAGGCUGAUGAAUCUCUUCCUAAAAUUUGGUAGACGCACGACACGCGUGGCACA